AGGUCUGAUUUCAUUGGUGCCUUGAUUAUUGAUUAUGACAAUCGGAUACCGCCAAACUUUGAAAACAAUAAUUGUACAGAAGUUGAUGUCAGCUUAUAUAUCAACAGUAUUGACUCAAUCAGCGAACGCUCCAUGGUAAGUUAGCGGCAGAUGUUUACCUGAUCCCUUCAUUUUUAUGUAAAGUAAGAUAUAUAUGUUAGUGCUGGGUGUCUACUUGACCCAAUCAUUGGUAGGUAAAGUAAGCGAAAGAUGCCUAUCU